rnacentral:rRNA from 1 species
CAGCAGCCGCGGGAAUACGGAGGGGGCUAGCGUUGUUCGGAAUUACUGGGCGUAAAGCGCACGUAGGCGGCUUUGUAAGUUAGAGGUGAAAGCCCGGAGCUCAACUCCGGAAUUGCCUUUAAGACUGCAGAGCUAGCAGGUGAGAGAGGUGAGUGGAAUUCCGAGUGUAGAGGUGAAAUUCGUAGAUAUUCGGAAGAACACCAGUGGCGAAGGCGGCUCACUGGCUCAUACUGGACGCUGAGGUGCGAAAGCGUGGGGAGCGAACAGGAUUAGAUACCCCUGUAGUCCCUGUCUCUUAUAC